UGCCAGCCGCCGCGGUAAUACGAAGGGUGCUAGCGUUGUUCGGAAUCACUGGGCAUAAAGCGCACGUAGGCGGCCAAGUCAGUUCGGUGUGAAAGCCCUCGGCUCAACCGGGGAACUGCACCGAAUACUGCUUGGCUUGAGGAUGGUUGGGGUGAGUGGAACUCCUGGUGGAGCGGUGAAAUGCGUAGAUUUCAGAAGGAACACCGGUGGCGAAAGCGACUCACUGGCUCGGUUCUGACGCUGAGGUGCGAAAGUGUGGGGAGCAAACAGGAUUAGAUA
rnacentral:rRNA from 1 species